rfam:Ictidomys tridecemlineatus contig016215, whole genome shotgun sequence.
UGGGUUGUGGCUCAGUGGUAGAGCGCUCACCUAGCACGUGUGAGUCACUGGGUUUGAUCCUCAGCACCACAU